UAUUUCACUAGUGGGAUUAAGCUUGAUUUUCAUUCGAUUGUGGUGUUAUUCAAGGUUUGCUGCACUUGCAGUGACUCUGUGGAGCAUCCAGAUGUUUUUUACCAAUCUUUGCAAACCUUUUCUGUCUCAUGAGCCUCUACAUCUUUCUUCCGAAGUCCUUGAACCAUUCUUUUGAUCAGAUCUCAUCGCUCUAAAACAGAAUACUGUGCAGGGAUCCAAAAUUGGAUUAUUUUUUGAUAUUGUGCUGCAGGUCAGGAGGUUCACAUCAUUUUUCUAGUAAUGUUCACUGGCACAGCUUUUUAGUCUGCCUGUUCAUUAUAUUUAGUGUCAUUUUAUGUGUGUGUGUGUGUGUGUGUGUGUAACCGCCUGCCAAUAUACACUAUAAAAAUUCUGUUAACUUUAUGGUACAACAACUUUAUUGGCAGCCAUUCCCAUAAAUUCACUAAAGCUGACAUUAUGGAAUGGCAUUUUUUGAACCUGUAAAAUUCAGUUUAUAUCUAUAUCAUUAUUCAUAAACUAAUGUAUAGGCCUAUCUAUUAUAUGUUAUGAGGUACAUCCGCCUUCUUUGCAGUUGGAUCUUUGCAAUGCAAAAGUGGCCAGUUCCACCAAGUCAUCUAAAUCUGGACCACUGAGUGCCAAGUAAACCGUGCGUCUUCAAGGUUCCGCCCAAUGUGCCUAUAAUGCGAAUAUGGCUUCAUCUAUACCUGCAUGAUAAGGGAUAGUUUUUGAACAUUUUGUCAUGAUUUACCUGCCCUCAUGCUGUUUCAUGCUGUGUGAGUUUCUUUCUUCAGUUGGUGGUAGCCACUGACUUCCACAGUUUUCCAAGAAUUUAAUUCUUCAAAUUGUCGUCUUUUAUGUUCCAAAAAAAAAGAAAAAAAAAAAGAAGAAGAAGAAACCCACACAGGUUUGGAACAACUUGAAGAUAGGUAAAUGAUGACAGAAUUUUCCUUUUUAGGGUGAACUAUCCCAUUAGAGCAGCUCCAGAUUUAUCUAUGUUAAAAUUGCAUUUGUUGAGUCUGGCUUUUAAUGUUUAUGUAAACUGGGAGCUGAGCCAUGUUGCAUGUGUAUUUUAACUUUAUAUUAAAAUAACUUUAUAUUAUAUUUCUUAUAUAAUUAUUUUCAGAACUGUACAGCAAUUGGACAACUGUUGUUGUUUAAUUGGGCUUUAUUAAUACAUUAAGGUAGGCUUUUGGGAAUGUUUUUCAAUAUAAUGUCUUGUAUUUUACAGGUAAAAUUUACACAUUUGUCUUGUUAAAUGUAAUGUAAAUAUACAUUUUGGUAAGUUUAACCAGUGUACAGGUUUGUAUCUAUAUAUGCUCAAAACACUAAAAUGCCAAAAUCUAAAACCUAAAAGGUGACUUAAAGAUCUGAGAGGCGAAUUAUCUGUAGCAGAACUAGACAGGUGGAGCUGGGGGAGGUAGAGGGUUUCUGCAAGACUUGCUUACAGCAAACAUUAAU
ensembl:lncRNA